rnacentral:rRNA from 1 species
CUACGGGACGCUGCAGUGGGGAAUAUUGCACAAUGGAGGAAACUCUGAUGCAGCAACGCCGCGUGGAGGAUGACACUUUUCGGAGCGUAAACUCCUUUUAUAUAGGAAGAAGAUGACGGUACUAUAUGAAUAAGCGCCGGCUAACUCCGUGCCAGUAGCCGCGGUAAUACGGAGGGCGCAAGCGUUACUCGGAAUCACUGGGCGUAAAGAGCGUGUAGGCGGAUUAAAAAGUCAGAAGUGAAAUCCUAUAGCUUAACUAUAGAACUGCUUCUGAAACUCUUAGUCUAGAAUAUGGGAGAGGUAGGUGGAAUUUCUGGUGUAGGGGUAAAAUCCGUAGAGAUCAGAAGGAAUACCGAUUGCGAAGGCGAUCUACUAGAACAUUAUUGACGCUGAGACGCGAAAGCGUGGGGAGCAAACAGGAUUAGAUACCCGGGUAGUC